CACAGUCGUUUGAAUUUUAGUGAUAAAUAAACAAAAAUUGUUUGUUUAUUUAUCACUAAAAUUCAAACGACUGUG
rnacentral:sRNA from 1 species